GUGGGGUCUGGGAAGUGAAAGAUGGAGUCAUUUGUAUCAUCAUUUUCUUCCCCAAGGAAGUCAACCAAAAGCCACUCAAACUGUGGGCUUCGGCUGAUGGAGGAAGCAAGGGGUGGGGAGGAGCUGCACCUGCGCUGGGGGUGAACUCUGACCUCUUCCCACCCAGACCAAGGAGCUUUGCAGGAGACGCACUUGGAGCUCAAGACCAACAGCUUCCCACCUUCUCCGGACGCCUCUCCCGCCCAAACUGCCAGGGGACAGACAAGGUUGAGGCCUGGCGUUCUGGGCCACAGCGUCCCUCUGCCCCCCAGACCAGGAGCCCCGAGACUCACCAUGAGGCGCAUCCUUGACCCCUCUCAGCCUUGAGCCUCCAGGCUCAAGGCCUGGGAUGCAGGAGUUAACACGCUUCCCAGGCUGGUCACCCCACAUGGGCUGGGGGAAAGGAUACCCAUUUCCCGGAGUUCCCCCCCACCGACAGAUUUACCAACACACUCGUGACCCACGUGUGAGACAGAGGUUUAUGCCAAUAACUUAGCCAACGCCGUCACUUUGGAUUUGCAAAUCUGUUCUAUGAAUUUGGGCAUGCAGUUGUUCGAAUUUGGUUUUUUUUGCUUUUCGAAUGUGUGCGUGUGCACAUGGCGGGGAGGGGGGUGAAAAUACCUACCCUUCUUAGAUAUCGAGGACUCUUGCAGAUGCUAAAGCAGUUUCCCGAGGAGACCUGGCCGCAGCAACUCCCAAUCCAAGGGUGUGAGGCCCAGCUUUGCCACUGGCUAGAUGUCUACUUGUGAUUCUUUAUGUCCCUUGGCCUCAGUUUGCUCAGCUGUACAAUGGGGGUUGUUAUGAGGAUAAAGGAAAGAAUGGAUGGGACGUAUGAAGGCAGGAGGAGUUAUUAGCAGUUUCAUUCCAUAACUAGGCACUGGGGAGCUACAGGGUGCCCAGCAUCUAGGCUCUAGGGGAUACAGCAGUGAACAAAACAGACAAGAAGUGAGGGGAAACGGCUAACGGACAGUCAGAUGAGCAAAUGCAGGGGCGUGGGUGGUGCCAAGGGCCAAGGAGAAAAAUAGAGCAGGCAGGAGAAAGAGUAGACAAAGUAGCAAAUAGAGUAAUGGGGGGUAGGGGCAAUGAUCGCAAACAAGCUGUUUAGGCAAGGACCUGAAGGGGGCGAGGACGUCCUGGCUGUGCGCGUGCGAGGUUAGCCGAUUCCACGGAGAGAACCCCCACCCCCCAAAAUGCUGUUGCUGUUGACUCUGGGCCUCCAUUCCCACUGGGGCUGGGGGAGGCUGGGGGCUGCUCUGGACUCUUCCCAAGGGGCUCUGUUUUAACCGAUAUUUUAUUCCACACACUCCCAGGACCCCCCGACUGUGCCUGAAGACGCCGCUAGCCUUGGCUCCGCACACUUGGCUCCCUACCCGGGCCCUGGCGUUCUGUCCACGCCAUCCCAUCAGCCUCCAUGUUCCCUAUGGCUCUGCCUGCGGGCCUCCCCCACAGCUCCACGUCCCUAGCCUGCCUGUGGCUUUCGCAGGCCUUGCUGACCCUCCAGCCCCCACCCUGCAAUCGGCCUUAAGCGCUUGGUCUCUUGGGCUCCCAGCGCAGCCUAUGCGGACCCCAUCACAGCACAGACCACGGCGCGUCCUUCGGCGCAUAGCAGGUGUACCACGCCCUCCAGCCAGAAGCCCUGGGAGGUCAUCUUCAGCCCUGCCAUGUGUCCUGAGCUCCUUCCUGGGUCCCAGCACUUGUCACUCACCAGUGUUGUUUACUGACAAGCCCAAGGCCUUCUUCAGUAGAGGUGGAGCUCCUUGAGGGUCAGGAUGGCACAGCCUUUACCUUUGUGGUCGGCAUCAUGCCCAUCGCAAAGCUCAGCACAUAGCACGUGCUGGACAAGGUUCACGGUGUGAAUGGCCGAGUCAUGGUAAGUCACUUAGAAGCAGAGAUCCUGCUUAACUCAUCGGCUUAAUUCUGACAGCGUCUCGCCGCCCCCCUCCCCCUCCCACCGCACCUACCUUAAAGUUGUAGGAAAUGAGCUCCUACAAUGCACAGUGGAAUACAUUGAAAAAGCUCGGCUUUUGAAAUUGGCUGUAACUCAAAGCAAAGCCUUCCUUAUACAACUUGGGCAGGUCACUGGGAUUUUUGGAGUCUCUGUUUUCUCAUCUGCAAACAGACAGAUUCUGUUUCCCUCAAAACAGUGGCCAUGUACAUGCAGUUACGAUUUGGCCCAGAAAUUCUGCUCCUAGGUAUCUGCCCAAGAGAAAUGCAUCCACCAAAACACUUGUACAUGAAUACUCAUAAGCAGCCUUGUUCAACGUGGGCAAACGGUGGAAACAGCCCAAAGGCCCAUCAGUGGAUGAAUGGAUACACAAAAUGUGGCGUAUCCGUACAACAGACAAUUACUGAGCAGUGGCACGGAAUGAAGGAGAGACACGCGCCCCCACCUGGAUGACCUCUGAAAACAUGAUGCGAAGGAAAAGAAACCAGCCACAAAAGAUGGCGUACUGUAUGAUUCUGUUUAUGUGAAAUACCCAGAACAGGCAACUCCACGGAGACAGAAA